rnacentral:rRNA from 1 species
UACAGAGGGUGCGAGCGUUAAUCGGAAUUACUGGGCGUAAAGCGCACGUAGGUGGCGACGUAAGUCGGGCGUGAAAGCCCCGGGCUCAACCUGGGAAUUGCAUUCGAGACUGCAUUGCUGGAGUACGGAAGAGGAAGGCGGAAUUCCCGGUGUAGCGGUGAAAUGUGUAGAGAUCGGGAGGAACACCGGUGGCGAAGGCGGGUCUCUGGGCAUCUCCUGACGCUGAGGCGCGAAAGCGUGGGGAGCAAACGGG